GAUGAACGCUGGCGGCGUGCCUAAUACAUGCAAGUCGAGCGAACAGACGAGGAGCUUGCUCCUUUGAUGUUAGCGGCGGACGGGUGAGUAACACGUGGGUAACCUACCUAUAAGACUGGGAUAACUUCGGGAAACCGGAGCUAAUACCGGAUAAUAUUUCGAACCGCAUGGUUCGAUAGUGAAAGAUGGCUUUGCUAUCACUUAUAGAUGGACCUGCGCCGUAUUAGCUAGUUGGUAAGGUAACGGCUUACCAAGGCAACGAUACGUAGCCGACCUGAGAGGGUGAUCGGCCACACUGGAACUGAGACACGGUCCAGACUCCUACGGGAGGCAGCAGUAGGGAAUCUUCCGCAAUGGGCGAAAGCCUGACGGAGCAACGCCGCGUGAGUGAUGAAGGUCUUCGGAUCGUAAAACUCUGUUAUUAGGGAAGAACAAACGUGUAAGUAACUGUGCACGUCUUGACGGUACCUAAUCAGAAAGCCACGGCUAACUACGUGCCAGCAGCCGCGGUAAUACGUAGGUGGCAAGCGUUAUCCGGAAUUAUUGGGCGUAAAGCGCGCGUAGGCGGUUUUUUAAGUCUGAUGUGAAAGCCCACGGCUCAACCGUGGAGGGUCAUUGGAAACUGGAAAACUUGAGUGCAGAAGAGGAAAGUGGAAUUCCAUGUGUAGCGGUGAAAUGCGCAGAGAUAUGGAGGAACACCAGUGGCGAAGGCGACUUUCUGGUCUGUAACUGACGCUGAUGUGCGAAAGCGUGGGGAUCAAACAGGAUUAGAUACCCUGGUAGUCCACGCCGUAAACGAUGAGUGCUAAGUGUUAGGGGGUUUCCGCCCCUUAGUGCUGCAGCUAACGCAUUAAGCACUCCGCCUGGGGAGUACGACCGCAAGGUUGAAACUCAAAGGAAUUGACGGGGACCCGCACAAGCGGUGGAGCAUGUGAUUUAAUUCGAAGCAACGCGAAGAACCUUACCAAAUCUUGACAUCCUUUGACCCUUCUAGAGAUAGAAGUUUCCCCUUCGGGGGACAAGGUGACAGGUGGUGCCUGGUUGUCGUCAGCUCGUGUCGUGAGAUGUUGGGUUAAGUCCCGCAACGAGCGCAACCCUUAAGCUUAGUUGCCAUCAUUAAGUUGGGCACUCUAAGUUGACUGCCGGUGACAAACCGGAGGAAGGUGGGGAUGACGUCAAAUCAUCAUGCCCCUUAUGAUUUGGGCUACACACGUGCUACAAUGGACAAUACAAAGGGCAGCGAAACCGCGAGGUCAAGCAAAUCCCAUAAAGUUGUUCUCAGUUCGGAUUGUAGUCUGCAACUCGACUACAUGAAGCUGGAAUCGCUAGUAAUCGUAGAUCAGCAUGCUACGGUGAAUACGUUCCCGGGUCU
rnacentral:rRNA from 1 species